GGACUGACGUAAGAGUAGCUGAAGGACCAGCCGGCGCGCGAGGAGCAGGAAAAUGGACUGAAACAUCAAGUCUUAUUCCUGGGAUGGCACACCUCGACCAGCGCCCACAGUCUACGCCUCGCCAGCUCUUUCCGUUGAAUCCCUGCAGUACACACCUGUCUUUUGAGGCACCACGUGGGCCAGCAAAAGGUACAGGUGUGUCAAGCUCGCUGAGGCUCCCCACACCUCCACUUCUUCGCAAAAAAAAAGAUGUCUGCUUUACCUCGUUGCAACAGAAAGGCGAUUUUUCAGCAAUAACACCUACCAGAAUGGCCGCCUUGGACUCGCUUCGAGUCUGUGGCCUCCAACAUAAACAACAGAUUUACUUGAAAGAGCUCAGCUGUAUCCCAAUCAGCCCAAAAGCCACAUUCAUGUCCCGGGAACCGGAGCCUGAUAGUAACCUUAGUCGACAUGAGCUGGACUCUGCAAUACAGCCUCGCCAGAGGGAAGACGUGGAGAGCGGCGGUCUUCAACUCACUACCAAUAGCUCGUCAAUGACUUUUUCAUGUAGUUUGGCAUCUGACUCGAGAGACAACAACGCCACCUUCUCUUGUAGCGAAGAGACCUCACCGACGAAAGGAAAGUCAUUAAAGAAAGACAGUUUAUCACCUGGUCGUCUAGUUCGCGAUAAAAUAUUCAUUACCACAGGUGACGACUGCUGGGGACCCCAAGGUAACACCGAGGAAGUUUUAAAACAGCAAGGCGGGCAAAAGCAUAGGGGUCCAAUAAACAAGCACCAUCAUGGCAUCCACGUUCAAAAAGACUCCUCAGGUCUGGUUUCGGGCCCAAAGACAAAUGAGCACCUGCUUUUCUUCCCCGAGGCAUCGGUGAAGUUAAACGAGGCCUCGUUAAAUGGUAACAACCGUCCUUUGCCGAGUCGCCUGCAUUGCAAGCCGCCUCGGUACUCUUCAGUCGACCACCGACAUUCGGACAUCACUUACCGGUUCUCGUCUCCAGGACGCCUGUGACCUCCAUUCCGACAUCAGCGGGAACUUGAACCAAGAACACUCGGACAAGGAAGCCGAUGAAAGCUGCAGGACUGGCCGUAGCCAUGGCAACUUAUGUGUGCUACCCGUCUCUUUCAGGCGCCCAGCUCAAGAAAAUGUCAUGUCAGUGACAGGUUACACCAUUGGAAACCUCAUAUCAAUGAUGGAACCAUACAGAGUUGCCCGUCCUCGUAUGAACGCGACCAAACAAGUUUCUCCUAGGUCAACAGAAAGGAAAGAUCUUGAUAUCAAGCCUGAUGGAGGAGAUGACCAUGAUCAUGGCAAUGCUAACAGUAGCGAGGAGAAGGAACAAGAGGACAAGUAUGAUUAUGAUGAUGAUGAUGAGAGUAAUGAAGACGAUUAUGAUGAUUUCGACGAGAUAUUUAACAUGCAAACAAACCUCGCUGAACUUAUUAAAAGGAAUCGGAGACUGCGUCUGUCUCCUGCAGGCUUUCCGUAUGUAAAUUAUUCCGGCAAUGUAGGUGAUGGCCAACAUCCCCGACCACUCAAAAGAAAAACUAACUUAAGAAGAGGGCCACUCACAAAAAGUCCAUCAAAACGAAGAGGUGCGACUUCCGCUCCAAGAGCAGAUACAGAGGAGUGUGAGCAAAGGAAUUCAAUGGACAAGUGGGCCGGAAACGAAGGUAGACCGAUGUCAGAACAAAUGAUGAAAGAAUACUUCCGGCAGUUGAAACAGACUAUCUGUAGCAACUUAGUGGAAGAGAAAUUCAUCGAUGAACUGGUGAUAAGGAAUGUCAAAUCCUGUUCCUUUUACGACCAGUUCUCAAAUGUCAAACUGGCAACGAAUCGUCAAGGCUCUGAUGGUCAGUCUUCAGAUAUGCCUCCCAUUCACCAUCACUGCUCGGCUGCUGACGGAGAGGCAAAAAGUCUUAAAACAAAUAACCUAGAAGAUACAGGAGGUUCGUGUGGUGCUUUCCAAGCUGCUGACGAACCCAAAGCCACCAACCCUGAUACUAAGUGAAGACGGCAGAGGAGACGGUCAAACAUAGCCAUUAUAACUGCAUGGGUCAGCUAACGGACAUUCCAUCCACUAAUAUGAAACCAUACCAGGCUCUCCUUGAGCCUGACCAGCUGCCAUCUUACAACUUUGGGCUGCUUUUCAAGGCACAAGCCUGUUUGCAUUAGGGAUGUAUUCCCUGUUACUUGCUCAAAAUUUGUCUGCACUGGGACAACAGAAAACGGCUGUCUGUUACAUGCCAUUGUAUCAAGUCCACAGGUAUACAAAGGAUGAAAACUCUACCCCAGAAUAUCAGUCUAGCAGACCCGAUCUGGGGUAAUGACUUUAGACUGCACACAGCUAAUCUGAGGUCACUUGCAGUUUUGCAAUAACAUUUUUGGCAAAAGCUGUUGCAGGUGAUUUGACAGCAUAUGCAUACCAUGAUCAUGAGCAAAGACAUAGCAGCCUGCAUUUUUCAGCUGAAGGGCAAGUGGUGA
rnacentral:misc_RNA from 1 species